AUGAACGCUAGCGACAGGCUUAACACAUGCAAGUCGAGGGGCAGCGGGGGUAGCAAUACCCGCCGGCGACCGGCUCACGGGUGAGUAACGCGUAUGCAACUUACCUAUCAGAGGGGGAUAACCCGGCGAAAGUCGGACUAAUACCGCAUGAAGCAGGGAUCCCGCAUGGGAAUAUUUGCUAAAGAUUCAUCGCUGAUAGAUAGGCAUGCGUUCCAUUAGGCAGUUGGCGGGGUAACGGCCCACCAAACCGACGAUGGAUAGGGGUUCUGAGAGGAAGGUCCCCCACAUUGGUACUGAGACACGGACCAAACUCCUACGGGAGGCAGCAGUGAGGAAUAUUGGUCAAUGGCCGAGAGGCUGAACCAGCCAAGUCGCGUGAGGGAUGAAGGUUCUAUGGAUCGUAAACCUCUUUUAUAAGGGAAUAAAGUGCGGGACGUGUCCCGUUUUGUAUGUACCUUAUGAAUAAGGAUCGGCUAACUCCGUGCCAGCAGCCGCGGUAAUACGGAGGAUCCGAGCGUUAUCCGGAUUUAUUGGGUUUAAAGGGUGCGUAGGCGGCCUUUUAAGUCAGCGGUGAAAGUCUGUGGCUCAACCAUAGAAUUGCCGUUGAAACUGGGGGGCUUGAGUAUGUUUGAGGCAGGCGGAAUGCGUGGUGUAGCGGUGAAAUGCAUAGAUAUCACGCAGAACCCCGAUUGCGAAGGCAGCCUGCCAAGCCAUGACUGACGCUGAUGCACGAAAGCGUGGGGAUCAAACAGGAUUAGAUACCCUGGUAGUCCACGCAGUAAACGAUGAUCACUAGCUGUUUGCGAUACACUGUAAGCGGCACAGCGAAAGCGUUAAGUGAUCCACCUGGGGAGUACGCCGGCAACGGUGAAACUCAAAGGAAUUGACGGGGGCCCGCACAAGCGGAGGAACAUGUGGUUUAAUUCGAUGAUACGCGAGGAACCUUACCCGGGUUUGAACGCAUUCGGACCGAGGUGGAAACACCUUUUCUAGCAAUAGCCGUUUGCGAGGUGCUGCAUGGUUGUCGUCAGCUCGUGCCGUGAGGUGUCGGCUUAAGUGCCAUAACGAGCGCAACCCUUGCCACUAGUUACUAACAGGUAAAGCUGAGGACUCUGGUGGGACUGCCAGCGUAAGCUGCGAGGAAGGCGGGGAUGACGUCAAAUCAGCACGGCCCUUACAUCCGGGGCGACACACGUGUUACAAUGGCGUGGACAAAGGGAAGCCACCUGGCGACAGGGAGCGAAUCCCCAAACCACGUCUCAGUUCGGAUCGGAGUCUGCAACCCGACUCCGUGAAGCUGGAUUCGCUAGUAAUCGCGCAUCAGCCAUGGCGCGGUGAAUACGUUCCCGGGCCUUGUACACACCGCCCGUCAAGCCAUGGGAGCCGGGGGUACCUGAAGUCCGUAACCGCGAGGAUCGGCCUAGGGUAAAACUGGUGACUGGGGCU
rnacentral:rRNA from 1 species